UGUUAUACAAUCUUCCAGAAACGCAUACGGCAGGGAUCUCCUGGCACCAUAAGUCGCAGCGAGGUAUAUUUCUCUAAAAGCAUCCAGCUACGUCCAAAUUCAUAAAAGCCCAGUCGGGAUCCUCACUGCUGCUCAGUACACGAUGACGACGAUGAGGAGCAGAAGAAGAAGGCCGCAGCCUCCGGCGAGCCCGCCCAGGAUGAACGGCUCACAAAUGGUUCGGCUGCUGGUUUCCACUGAAGAUGGAGAAGCAGGUAAUGGGUUUCUGUGAAGGCCUCAGCAGAUAGGGGUGCGUUCUCACCUUGCUUUGGAAGGGUCGGGCAAGUGCACGGCCGGGCCUUCGUCGCUGGAGGAUUUAUUUUGCUCGGGACGGUCGUAGGAGGAGGCCUGUUAACAAUUUUCUCUGAGAGGAAAAAAAAGCCCAGAGGUUAGUAUAGUUGGUCUAGGUUUCACUCUUCUUGAAAGGUCAAACAUCUCACCCCCGACCAGAGACGUCACCUGACCAAAGUUCACUUGAUUGUUCUUCAGAGAGCCGCAGGUGUAGAGGCCGCUGUCUCGACUGGACUUGAAUGAAUUUAAGGUGAUAGCAUCUUUCCCUGGCGUAUGAGUGAAGAUAGAGGGCAGGGCUCCCUUUAGUACCCCGUUGUUGGAGAAGGAUCCGAUGAAUUCCAUCGUGCUGCCGUCGAGCACGCGAAACCACAUCACCAAAGUGCCAAUGCUUGGUUUGCAUUGAAUUUGCACUUGCUCUCCUUCCUUGGGGCUGAGGACGACGGGUUGUGAAGCUCUCACGGACGGACCUGCCAAGCAGAAGAGGUAAAUCUCUCAACCUGUUUGAUGAUGAAAGCUCACCCAGACUUACAAAUCUGUGAGGCCAAAAUCACCAGAAGAGGAAUGAAAUGAUGGGCCAUUUUGGAGCCAGCGAUCACUCUCGAACCCGCUUGCUGACAAAAUGAUUGUCAGAGCUAUCAAGCCCCGCCCCACCUGCUUCCUUACCGUCGAAUUGCAUCUUUGCACUCGGAGGGAGUGCAGAGGCCUCCUGCAGCAUGACGGUGGUCUACGAGUGUUUGAAGUACGGCCCACCCGUUCGCACUCCUCUUUUUUUUUUGGUGAGAACCAAGCAGCAUGUGUUGGUAUGUAGGCUGAGGUAGGAUGAGGCAGGAAGUGGAGAAGGAGCUCAUGGGUGCUGAAGAAACCAAUGAUCUUGACUUCAUACAAAACGUGACUUUCACUUGUACAUGAAGGGGGCGCUGAAACACACCGGUUACACAAGACUCAACAAGCAUUCGGCUUUGAGUUUGUGAAGUUGUUGUAUGUCCAGAGGAAUUAUCUAUCGAUGACAGGAAAAAUCAUCAAUCAAGAAAUCAUUUUCAAGCCAACCUACGUCACAAAAAACACUUAAAACACUGUUGUAAACAAAUGACAAAUGAAAACACAACGAAAAGCACAGUAAAUAUCAUGCUAAUUUUGUAA